rnacentral:misc_RNA from 1 species
GAUGAAGAACGCAGCGAAAUGCGAUAAGUAAUGUGAAUUGCAGAAUUCAGUGAAUCAUCGAAUCUUUGAACGCACAUUGCGCCCGCCAGUAUUCUGGCGGGCAUGCCUGUCUGAGCGUCAUUUCAACCCUCAUGCCCCUAGGGCGUGGUGUUGGGGAUCGGCCAAAGCCCGCGAGGGACGGCCGGCCCCUAAAUCUAGUGGCGGACCCGUCGUGGCCUCCUCUGCGAAGUAGUGAUAUUCCGCAUCGGAGAGCGACGAGCCCCUGCCGUUAAACCCCCAACUUUCCAAGGUUGACCUCAGAUCAGGUAGGAAUACCCGCUGAACCUAAGCAUAUCAAUAAGCGGAGGA